rnacentral:rRNA from 1 species
UGCGGUCGAACGAGAAAGUCACUUCGGUGGCGAGUAGAGUGGCGCACGGGUGAGUAACGCGUAGAUGAUCUACCCUUCAGUCUGGGACAACUCUUGGAAACGGGAGCUAAUACCGGAUAAAACCUUCGGGUUGAAAGCUUUAGUGCUGGAGGACGAGUCUGCGUACCAUUAGCUUGUUGGUGGGGUAAGAGCCUACCAAGGCGACGAUGGUUAGCGGGUCUGAGAGGACGAUCCGCCACACUGGAACUGAGACACGGUCCAGACUCCUACGGGAGGCAGCAGUAGGGAAUAUUGCGCAAUGGGGGAAACCCUGACGCAGCAAUGCCGCGUGAGUGAAGAAGGCCCUCGGGUCGUAAAGCUCUUUUAUGGGGGAAGAUGAUGACGGUACCCCAUGAAUAAGCACCGGCUAACUACGUGCCAGCAGCCGCGGUAAUACGUAGGGUGCGAGCGUUGUUCGGAAUUACUGGGCGUAAAGGGCGUGCAGGCGGAUUGGUAAGCCGGAGGUGAAAGCCCGGGGCUCAACCCCGGAGGGUCUUUCGGAACUGCCAGUCUUGAGAGGGUCAGGGGCCAGCGGAAUUCCUGGUGUAGAGGUGAAAUUCGUAGAGAUCAGGAGGAACACCGGCGGCGAAAGCGGCUGGCUGGGGCCACUCUGACGCUGAGGCGCGAAAGCGUGGGGAGCAAACAGGAUUAGAUACCCUGGUAGUCCACGCCGUAAACGAU